rnacentral:rRNA from 1 species
GAUGAACGCUGGCGGCGUGCCUAACACAUGCAAGUCGAACGAAGCGGUGAUACGGAAGUUUUCGGAUGGAAGUAUGAUUGACUGAGUGGCGGACGGGUGAGUAACGCGUGGGCAACCUGCCUUACACAGGGGGACAACAGUUGGAAACGACUGCUAAUACCGCAUAAGCGCACGAUACCACAUGGUAACGUGUGAAAAACUCCGGUGGUGUAAGAUGGGCCCGCGUCUGAUUAGGUAGUUGGUGAGGUAACGGCUCACCAAGCCCGCGAUCAGUAGCCGACCUGAGAGGGUGACCGGCCACAUUGGGACUGAGACACGGCCCAAACUCCUACGGGAGGCAGCAGUGGGGGAUAUUGCACAAUGGGGGAAACCCUGAUGCAGCGACGCCGCGUGAGCGAAGAAGUACUCCGGUAUGUAAAGCUCUAUCACCAGGGAAAGGAGGUGAGGGGGGGCUGACGAAGAAGCUCCGGCUAAAUACGUGCCAGCAGCCGCGGUAAUACGUAUGGAGCAAGCGUUAUCCGGAUUUACUGGGCGUAAAGGGAGUCGUAGGCGGCUAGGUAAGUCUGAUGUGAAAACCCCGGGGCUCACCUCGGGAGUGCAUUUGUAAACUACCUAGCUAGAGUAUCGGAGAGGCAGGCGGAAUUCCUAGUGUAGCGGUGAAAUGCGUAGAUAUUAGGAGGAACACCGGUGGCGAAGGCGGCCUGCUGGACGAAGACUGACGCUGAGGCUCGAAGGCGUGGGGAGCAAACAGGAUUAGAUACCCUGGUAGUCCACGCGGUAAACGAUGAAUACUAGGUGUCGGUGCCCAAGGGGCAUCGGUGCCGCAGCAAACGCAGUAAGUAUUCCGCCUGGGGAGUACGUUCGCAAGAAUGAAACUCAAAGGAAUUGACGGGGACCCGCACAAGCGGUGGAGCAUGUGGUUUAAUUCGAAGCAACGCGAAGAACCUUACCAAGUCUUGACAUCCCCCUGAAACACAAGUAAUGUUGUGCGCCCUUCGGGGCAGGGGAGACAGGUGGUGCAUGGUUGUCGUCAGCUCGUGUCGUGAGAUGUUGGGUUAAGUCCCGCAACGAGCGCAACCCUUACCCUUAGUAGCCAGCAAGUUAGGUUGGGCACUCUAAGGGGACUGCCCGGGAGAACCGGGAGGAAGGCGGGGAUGACGUCAAAUCAUCAUGCCCCUUAUGACUUGGGCUACACACGUGCUACAAUGGCGUAAACAAAGGGAAGCAAAACCGCGAGGUCAAGCAAAUCCCAAAAACAACGUCUCAGUUCGGAUUGUAGUCUGCAACUCGACUGCAUGAAGCCGGAAUCGCUAGUAAUCGCGAAUCAGAACGUCGCGGUGAAUACGUUCCCGGGUCUUGUACACACCGCCCGUCACACCAUGGGAGUCGGAAACGCCCGAAGUCAGUGGCCCAACCGAGAGAUUUCUUGGAGGGAGCUGCCGAAGGCGGGGUCGAUGACUGGGGUG